rnacentral:lncRNA from 8 species
GGUUCAGGGCAGGGUACUGGGUGGAGGCUAGUAACAGUCACUAAGGUUCAGGGCAGAGUACUGGGUGGAGGCUGGCUAGUAACAGUCACUAAGGUUCAGGGCAGGGUACUGGGUGGAGGCUGGCUAGUAACAGUCACUAAGGUUCAGGGCAGGGUACUGGGUGGAGGCAGGCUACUAACAGUCACUAAGGUUCAGGGCAGGGUACUGGGUGGAGGCUGGCUAGUAACAGUCACUAAGGUUCAGGGCAGGGUACUGGGUGGAGGCUGGCUAGUAACAGUCACUAAGGUUCAGGGCAGGGUACUGGGUGGAGGCUGGCUAGUAACAGUCACUAAGGUUCAGGGCAGGGUACUGGGUGGAGGCAGGCUAGUAACAGUCACUAAGGUUCAGGGCAGGGUACUGGGUGGAGGCUGGCUAGUAACAGUAACUAAGGUUCAGGGCAGGGUACUGGGUGGAGGCUGGCUAGUAACAGUUACUAAGUUUCAGGGCAGGGUACUGGGUGGAGGCUGGCUAGUAACAGUCACUAAGGUUCAGGGCAGGGUACUGGGUGGAGGCCGGCUAGUAACAGUCACUAAGGUUCAGGGCAGGGUACUGGGUGGAGGCAGGCUAGUAACAGUCACUAAGGUUCAGGGCAGGGUACUGGGUGGAGGCAGGCUAGUAACAGUCACUAAGGUUCAGGGCAGGGUACUGGGUGGAGGCCAGCUAGUAACAGUCACUAAGGUUCAGGGCAGGGUACUGGGUGGAGGCAGGCUAGUAACAGUCACUAAGGUUCAGGGCAGGGUACUGGGUGGAGGCCGGCUAGUAACAGUCACUAAGGUUCAGGGUAGGGUACUGGGUGGAGGCAGGCUAGUAACAGUCACUAAGGUUCAGGGCACGGUACUGGGUGGAGGCUGGCUAGUAACAGUCACUAAGGUUCAGGGCAGGGUACUGGGUGGAGGCUGGCUAGUAACAGUCACUAAGGUUCAGGGCAGGGUACUGGGUGGAGGCUGGCUAGUAACAGUCACUAAGGUUCAGGGCAGGGUACUGGGUGGAGGCUGGCUAGUAACAGUCACUAAGGUUCAGGGCAGGGUACUGGGUGGAGGCUGGCUAGUAACAGUCACUAUGGUUCAGGGCAGGGUACUGGGUGGAGGCAGGCUAGUAACAGUCACUAAGGUUCAGGGCAGGGUACUGGGUGGAGGCCAGCUAGUAACAGUCACUAAGGUUCAGGGCAGGGUACUGGGUGGAGGCUGGCUAGUAACAGUCACUAAGGUUCAGGGCAGGGUACUGGGUGGAGGCUGGCUAGUAACAGUCACUAAGGUUCAGGGCAGGGUACUGGGUGGAGGCUGGCUAGUAACAGUCACUAAGGUUCAGGGCAGGGUACUGGGUGGAGGCUGGCUAGUAACAGUCACUAUGGUUCAGGGCAGGGUACUGGGUGGAGGCUGGCUAGUAACAGUCACUAAGGUUCAGGGCAGGGUACUGGGUGGAGGCAGGCUAGUAACAGUCACUAAGGUUCAGGGCAGGGUACUGGGUGGAGGCAGGCUAGUAACAGUCACUAAGGUUCAGGGCAGGGUACUGGGCAGAGGCCGGCUAGUGGUGAUUAUUUAA